CCUACGGGAGGCAGCAGGGAGGAAUAUUGGUCAAUGGCCGAGAGGCUGAACCAGCCAAGUCGCGUGAGGGAUGACGGCCCUACGGGUUGUAAACCUCUUUUGUAGGGGAGCAAAGAGAGUCACGUGUGGCUCAUUGAGAGUACCCGAAGAAAAAGCAUCGGCUAACUCCGUGCCAGCAGCCGCGGUAAUACGGAGGAGGCGGGCGUUAUGCGGAUUUAUUGGGGUUAACGGGUGCGCAGGCGGAGGUGCAAGUCAGUGGUCAAAUUUCGGGGCUCAACCCCGUACUGCCGUUGAAACUGCAUCCCUUGAGUGCGCGACACGUCUGCGUCAUGCGUGUUGUAGCGG
rnacentral:rRNA from 1 species